CUAGAUUCAUCAAUUCUAGGUUUCUAAGUUUAUUCGAUUUAGUCCAUAUUCUUACAAUUUAGUUUCUAAACCUUAUAUUAAAUAAUUGACAUUUCAAUUAAUCAACUACAAUAGGAAUUAGUUCAUACCCAUUGUAAGUACCCAAAUUUGCCCGAGCCCAACAACCAAAAAUCAAUCCCAAAACAAAACAAAAAUAUUAAAAUCCAAAUCAAAAGGCCAUCAGUCCAAAUAUUACAAAACAGCCCAAAACAAUUACAAUGGCCCAAUACCCAAAAAACCCAAUUCUAAACCCAAACAAACCCAUAACCCAAUACCCAAAUAAAACAAAUCGGGCCCAAGCGGCCCAAGACCAGAUUAUCCACAGAAACCCUAGGGUUUCCACCUUAGCGCCGUAGCCUCUAGCCUCCGUACGCUCCCAUGCACGACCUCCGUACUCCCCAGCGCCGCUCGUGCCUCUACGUCCUCCCCCAUCUGCAUGAAGACAAAAACAGCACAGCACAACAGCAAAAAAGAAAAAAGGAGACAAGAAAAUAUUGUAUUUUUCUUUAUUUUUCUCAUUCGGCUAUAAAGCCAUCUUCUUUUUCAAUUGUAUGGGACGCACACUAAAAUAUACAUAUUGAAUACAACAAAAUCGAAUUAAAAUUAUUGGAAAGGUUAUUCUCGAUCCUUUUUUUUAUGUGUGUUUCUUUCUUUUGAUUUUGCAUGUGGCUCGAAUAUAAGAAAAUAAAAGAACGUUUAUCGUCGUAAAUAGGCCAAUCGAAAUUCUUGUCUCCUUCACCGAAAUCGAAGUUUGGGAUGAGAUUUCUAAGGGCUGAAAUUGAUAGGUCUUGAGUUAAGACUCUAAUCGAAGUGCGCGCAUGUUGAUCUCCAUCGAAUCGUAGUGGUGGCAAUUGAUUUGCUCAAGUUUUGGGAUUAGUCGAAUGGUGGUAAUGGCUUUUAGGGUUCUUUUUACUCUGAUUUCUUUAGAAAGGGAAAGAAAUGGUGGCUGUGUUUCAUUAGGGUUUUG
rnacentral:lncRNA from 1 species